rnacentral:rRNA from 2 species
UUGGGCGUAAGCGCGCGCAGGCGGUUUCUUAAGUCUGAUGUGAAAGCCCACGGCUCAACCGUGGAGGGUCAUUGGAAACUGGGGAACUUGAGUGCAGAAGAGAAAAGCGGAAUUCCACGUGUAGCGGUGAAAUGCGUAGAGAUGUGGAGGAACACCAGUGGCGAAGGCGGCUUUUUGGUCUGUAACUGACGCUGAGGCGCGAAAGCGUGGGGAGCAAACAGGAUUAGAUACCCUGGUAGUCCACGCCGUAAACGAUGAGUGCUAAGUGUUAGAGGGUUUCCGCCCUUUACUGCUGCAGCUAACGCAUUAAGCACUCCGCCUGGGGAGUACGGUCGCAAGACUGAAACUCAAAGGAAUUGACGGGGGCCCCCCCACCCGGUGGAGCAUGUGGUU